GAAGUUUGACUGACAAUCGCCGGUGGUUAUACGCCACGGGAGGAAAGUCCGGGCUCCACAGGGCAGGAUGCUGGAUAACGUCCAGUCAACGCGAGUUGAAGGAAAGUGCCACAGAAAUGGACCGCCGAUGGCCUGCUUCUCUAGGGAAGCAGUGCACAGGCAAGGGUGGAACCGUGGUGUAAGAGACCACGAGAGACUAUGGUGACAUAGCCUCUGGUAAACCCCAUCUGGAGCAAGACCUAAGAGGACGUGGGUGCAGGCAACUGCACCACCUUUAGCCCGAAGGGCGUCCGGGUUGGUCGCUGAAGCCAUGCAGCAAUGUAUGGCGUAGAUAGAUGAUUGUCGCUUCAAUGGCGGGAGGGGAGACCCGUUACUACCGCCCGAAGUACAGAACCCGGCUUACGGAAAGCUUUCGAC
rnacentral:RNase_P_RNA from 1 species